GGGCCCGCACAAGCGGUGGAGCAUGUGGUUUAAUUCGAAGCAACGCGAAGAACCUUACCAGGUCUUGACAUACUCGUGCUAUUCCUAGAGAUAGGAAGUUCCUUCGGGACACGGGAUACAGGUGGUGCAUGGUUGUCGUCAGCUCGUGUCGUGAGAUGUUGGGCACUCUAACGAGACUGCCGGUGAUAAACCGGAGGAAGGUGGGG
rnacentral:rRNA from 1 species